GUGCUUCCUUCAUCUGCACAUGUACAAUAAAAUGAUAUAGAGAGGAUUAGCAUGGCCUCUGGGCAAGGAUAAAAUACAAAUAAUGAAGCUUUCCUUU
rnacentral:snRNA from 1 species